GGUAUGAGUUCAGGGCUUGAAAUGACCUCAGUGUUCCAUUUAUCCGAUCAAUUGGCCCCCUUCUCAGGCGAAUUCAUCUCUUAAUUCAGAAGAUGGCUUUUGAGAGCUUCAGACAUACAUCUAACCUUCUCAACAACUGUGAUAGAAAAGAGAAUUUCCUAAUAGGUGGGAACAAAUGCCAAUUCUAAUUCUCAUUGGCCUCAAACAACAACAACAUAUGCAUUCUCAAAACAGCAAGACUGAUAAUAUGCAAAAGACAAAGAUUCUUCUUUGGAGAAGGAGGAGCAAGAAGGAGAAGAAGAAGAAAAACUAAACAGGAACUUUUGAAAGAAGCUGUAUUGUACAGAAAACCUGUAUGAAACAUGUAUGAGAAGUGUGAUAACAGAUCUGCCCAGAGUUCUACAAAGAAUGUUUCAUUUGGAGUAAUGCUUACCCCAGGUGGGGAUGGAGGGUAGGUGAUGGGCAGUAAAGCCUACCCUGAUAUCUGCAGCUUAACAGUCAUUUGUACAGUACAUCUGUUAACCAGAAGGCCAACCAGACUUCAACUCUUAAUUGCUUUGCUAACGGCUAUAUUGAAAAACUUCCUCAUCUCACCACCAUCUGGUGUCAUUAACCUCUGCAAUCUUUCUAGGCAAUGUGUGUGUUGUUGGGUGUAUGUUAAAGGACAUUUUCAGGGAAUUUUUUUCUUAGAAUUACUUUUAGUAAGUCAGUAAAACUUAAUUCAUCUCCCCUCAUCCUCAUUCUAUUGAAUCUCAAAAUGUC
rnacentral:lncRNA from 1 species